CUGAUCUCGCCCCCGCCGUCCCAGUUCCCCACCUCCGCCACCGGCCAGAGCGCGGCCACGCCAGUCGCCCACCUCUGCCGCCUCACGUCGCCCAGGUUCCCACCAGAGGGAAGCAUAAUCGUUAAGCAGCGUUGUUUUCGUCAGGCAGCGCGCUGUUAGCUCCGUAACCAGAGUUGCUGUCGUUUGUGACCAUGGUGAAUUCAGUCAAGGAUGUCGAUUUGGAUUUUGGAUCCAAAUUCUUGUUUUGAUUGAUUCAUUGGGCAGAAUGAUUGCAUCCUCUGAUUUCAGUCAGAGCGUGUGUCUCUCUCUCUCUUGUUUUUAUGAUUCCAUAUUUCCAUCUACUGAAUAUCGUAGGAAGUGCACUUUGUUUCGCCAAUCGUCGGCCAGUGAACCUACCUGCAGUUUGUUGUCUGCAAUUUCUUUUGCAUACGAGCGCAUGUACUGCCUAAUAUGCACUCAUGUACUUAUCAGUCUUGCCUCGUUGCAGAUAGAGGAUCAAGGGUUUCAGCAACUGAAUUAGCUCUUGCAAGCCUGCUAACAGAGUGAUAUUAGUUUUCAAGGUUCCCAAAACAUGACACAAGAACCUGUGUUUGACACUUCCACAGUGAUUCAGCCUUAAAGGCAGCUAUAUGAAGCACUCAACAGAGAAGAGGAAUUAUGAGACCGGCCAAGCGCCGUCGGCUGUCGGAGAUCCACUGGCGCAGCUCGACCAUCAGAGCUCCUCCCUUCCCCUGGCGCAGUGCUCCAUCGCAGGGCCCCUCCCCUACAACGCGCUUGGCCGGCGGCGCACUGGCCCUCCCUACGGUCGCGCUUGGCCAGUGGCACCACUCAUGCCCGCUUCCAUUAUUGGAUGCCCUCACGCACCACCACCUGGAGGUCCGCAUGCCACCGCUUCCCUUCCCUGAUGUCGAAAGUGUCUCUUCUUCCCCGUAGUGGUGGCUCCUUCUUCCCCGUGGCCGGCGAGCCGCUGCUUCCGUCCGCUGUCGACACAUUUCCUCGUGCAACGCUGCCAUCAGCUCCGCUCGGAGCACACUUGUAUACGCGCGCGAGGGACGACGGAAACUGGGAGCCAUCUUCCAUGACGAUGAGUCGAUGAGCCCAUACCCUACAUCUGCCGCCACAGACUCUAUUUCCUCUACCGCUGAUGUGGCUCUUCCAGGCUAGGUCAUCGUGUUCCUGCGCGCAGCAGCUGCGGUUACUGCUGCCAUGUUUUUCUUUGCUAGGACAGAGUUCAUUCUAAGCUCUUGUUGAUGUACGCUCACUCAGGCAUACGUGGUGAGCAACUAUUUAAUUGAUAGUAUAUAUAUAUAUAUAAUAAAGCUCUAUGCUCACUCUGAAACUCUGAA